AUGCAAGACUACUUCGCGGAGAAUCCAACAUAUCCACCGCACCUCUUUCGGAGAAGGUAUCGAAUGCGCCGAUCUCUCUUUGUGAAAAUUGUUCAAGCUUGCGAGGCCAAUUGUCGGUAUUUUACUCAAAGAAGAAAUGUCGCGGGCUUGAAGGGAUAUAGUGCAUAUCAAAAAAUCUCGGCCGCUAUGACGGUAAUUGCAUAUGGCAUUCCGGCUGACCAUGCGGAUGAGUACCUUCGCAUUGUUGAAGAUACCACAAUUGAGUCAGUGCGUGGGUUUGCCAAAGUGAUCGUGCGUGUCUUUGGUCCCGAAUAUCUUCGGGCACCCAACGAGGAAGACAAAAAAAAUGAUGGCAUCUAA
rnacentral:rRNA from 1 species